rnacentral:lncRNA from 1 species
UCUUGUCAGACAAUUAAGGGGUCUUUGAAUACUUCAGCCCUAAUAAUUUGCUUCCUAACAUACAUAUUGCAGUGCUUAUCUAAUUUUAAAUAUUCUUUUGUUUCAACACCUAAUUUUCUAUUUUGAUCUAUCUUUAUGUUUACAAUAUAUUUUGCUCUGUGUUCAUUCUUUGAUUUCAGAACUUCAAUCUUUCUGAAGCGUGUUUUCAGAGUUUCCUUUGAGUUUCUUUAGUGGAAUUCUGCUGGUGGUAUUUUGUUUUUUGUCUCUAAAUAUGUGAUUUAGCCAUAGGUUGAUGAAUAUUUUUCUUGGUUGAGAAUUUCAGAAUGGCAUUAUUAUUCUUAACAAAUAAUAUUGUUUAUUUUACCUUUCAUGCUUUCAGAUUUCAAUAUGAUUAAAGGUAAUUUGAUUUUUCUAGUGCUAAUUGAAAUAUUUUUCCCUUCCUGAUUGUUUACUAUUUCUCUAGGAGAUAUGUAGAUGUAGGUUUAUCUCCAUCGUAGCUUGCUUAGCAUGCAUAGAAGUUUUGAAUAUGUGGAUUAGUGUCUUACAGAACUCUAGAGAACUUUCAGCCAAAAUACCAUCACAUAUUGUCCCUUCCCCGUUCCCUUCCUCUAUGAGAACACUCACUAAACACAUGCUACACUUUCUCACUGUAUCUUCCAUGUCUCUUCAUGAUUCUGUCCACAUUGUGCCUUUUUUUAAAUUUUCUGUAAUGCAUUCUGAAAUAUUUAUGAGCUCUCACCAUGGCCAUGUCUAAUCUGAUGAGUUCAUUUUUGAGUUUUUAAUUUAAAAUACUAUAUACAAACUACUUUUCAAAUUUACUACAUCAACUUUUUAGUCUCCUAAAAAUAUAUUCCUUUUUUUAAAUUUUUUGAAAGCAAAUGUGCUUUAUAAUCUAACAGUGAUAUUUCUACUAAUGAACCUCUGUGGAUCUGUUUGUACUCUUUUUCUGCUUUCCUUUCAAAUGGUGGAAUAUCAUUUCCUUGCGUACUUAGAUGCCUUUGAAUGACAAAGAUUUAUUUUUCUCUGAAAAUUAUUAUUGUGCACUUUUGCAUAUUAGUAAGAAGAAAAUUUGCCAAAGAGAAUUUGAAUUUUUUGUGAGUCUACUAAAGGCACCACCAUUCUGGGACCACAUUAUAUUAAUUCUUGGCCUAAAGGUGUUUGGACGUAUGUUUGGACAGCACAUUUAAACAAUUUUUAAAUUAAUUGCUGUAAAUCAUUAAUGAUUGAGUUUCUUUAAAUCUGUCCAAUCUCAAGUCAUUUUUAUUUGCCAUUUCCAGGGAAUGUGAAAUGAGACUAAUUUACCUCUGAUUCUUCUUUAUACUGAGGAGAUAAAUUUUGGUGCUAGCUUUAGGGAAGAGCUCCUGUGUGAUGCCCUAUCUUGGGAAACACUAUGUAUUUCUUUACUGUCCUAUGUGAUGUAUGACCAUAGGAAUCUGCACUCAUUCAUUUUGCUACAUGUCCGUAGGGCAAAAUCAGUAUCAGUGUUUAGGUGUAUUUUGUCUGCUCCCUGCAUUCCCAUGGUUUUGACCUUAUCUUUUACUUUUUUUUGUGAACAUACCAAUGCUUCAAUUUUUUUCCAGUAAUAUAAUCAACCAUACUAUAAGAGAAAAAUUUCGAUAAAACACAAAUUUCAUGUUUUCCUACUCUAAUUGGCUUUUACGUAAAAAUACAGGUAAAAUUUAUUUGUGCUUUUUUGCUAUUUCUGUUUUGCUAUUUUCUGUUUGUCUAUGUCUUCACCACAUAGACACAAUUAGGGAAUUUUGUACACUCUUGUGCCAACUGCUUUGAUAGUAACAAAAUGUAUUUCUCGAACUCCUAGGUAUAAAACUCAAGUAUCCACUAUUUAAAUUCUUUUUUGCUCACUUCUAGUAUGUUUCCAGUCUCAAUAGAAAUCGAUGCCAAUCCAGAAAUACAAGCAUUAUUCUAAUACUUCUCACACAUUACUGCAGGAGUGAGGACACAGCGAAAGUGAGACAAGGAAAAGAGAACAAAAUAAAACAGGAAAGACAGAAAAGCCAAUACCACACGUGUUAAGAGUUUCAAGGAAAAUAUGUUGGGAGUUCCUGGCAUAGAGAAUGUCACAAAGACAUGUUUUCAAUAGUAGUGCUAUCCCGAGGGCAGAGAAGACCCAGAGAAAGCCCAAGUGGCUGCUGGAACAAAAUCAGACACCGUGCCACCUGUCCACACUCCUUGGCUCUGCCAUCAUGCUGAAGAUCGCUUUAAAGGACUGGCUUCCCUCCCCCCAAAAUUAAAAGAGCACAGACUGAGAAACUGAAUGUGGGAGACAGCAGUGGAUUAUGCUGUUCUCAGGGGUCACCUCAGGUUUGGAAGCAUUCUUUCAAAUUAACCCAUCUCAGGCCAUCUGCAGAGAAGAAAGGUGGUACCUAACUUUUUUUCUUGUCGGCAUUUGGUAGGGGUGUUUUAUUGACCAAAUAUGUUCCCACAACCUCGUUUUUUGUGACUAACUAAAUAUAGUAGAGUUUUAAAUUUUAUCAUCAAAAUCUAUAGACAAUUUUUGAUGAAAAUAGACUCCAUCUCUAUGUCCUGCUUUUCUUCUUCUUAUUAAUUACAUUGCUGUAUAAAAGAACAAGACUUCAGCAUCAAGAAUAUCUUGUCUCUUGGCAUUGAAUUUAUACAAGGUGCUCUUUCUUUAAUGCUGUCUCAAAGGACAUAUUUUUACUCAUUAAAAAGGAAGAUCGGAAUCUAGUUGUAUGCACUGCUCCAACAUAUUAAUAAUUAAAAUUAGGAGGUAAAUGUGGUCAAAGCUAUAGAAAGACGGAGAUGUCAUUUAUAUGGAUUACUCUAUAGCACUCUACAAACAGAAAUUGUUAAAUAAUAGUUUAUAUAAAUAUUUUGUAGCAUUUCAAAUAUUUGAGUGCUUGAAGUUUCUCCUCUUCUAUAGUUCAGAUUAUCAAUUUGAAGACUUACUCCGCUAGUUAAUAUGUUUUUAGUCUCGUUUGAGUAUUAUAUAAAAGCAAUUUUCAGUUAAAUGUGUUCCGCUUACAUAAAACGUUACAAAUUAUUGAGGAUUUAAUUACUUAUUCAUGUUCCUGUAAUGUCUUUAGAAGAUUUUCUUAUUAUUACCUAUCAAUAUAUGUAUGCUUUGUCAAAGAAAAAUCAAACAUAUAUAUCAUUGAAAUUGAAACUUUUUAAAAGUACUUAUUAAUUCUAUUGAAAAACCACAUCCAUAGGAACAAUUACAAUAUAAUAUUGUGAACAUGUAAACAUAUACCCUAUGUCUAUUUUAUGUAUAAGCAUGUAUGAUUAAAAAUAUAGUGAAGAAUUUUUAAACCUAGUAUUAUAAAGUAAAAAUUAGUUAACUUCCGAUGAUUAUUUGUUAAUUAAGAUAAAAUUAUUUUGAUUUGGGUGAUUUUAAAUAAAGAAAAAUAUUAAAUUACAUGACAAAAAUUCUUUAUAAAAUGUUUAUGAUUUUUACAUUGGUUUUAUCACUUUUCCCACUAUUUUAUUUUAAGAUGACCUGCCUUGUUUAAAACACUGUAUUCAUCUUAGUUAAAUUAGAUUCCAUUUGUAAAAUAAUUAACAAAUGAUUUGCUCUAUUGUACAGUGCGGUUAUAAACUGAGUCAGUAUCUCAAGAUUUGAUCCCCAUUAUCAUCAUCUGUGGCCCUAUUUGUUUUA